GAGCAUGAGAGGAUGGGCAGCCCUGAAGCAGGCAAAGGAAAAGUGGCACGGCAGGAAGCAAGUCAGAUGAGGGGGCCUGGUUUGUGCGAGAACAUGACAAACCAGUGUUCCUGAAGCCUAAAGGGAAGGUGAGACAAGGCAGAGGAGGCUGGCGGGGCCAGGUCACGGAGUCUCCUGUGCCACACUGAGAGUCUGGGCUUGAGCUUGUGGAGAGCCCAAGGAUGAAAACAGAGAAGUAAUUAAUGGCAGCUUUCCUGGGCCAGAAGAAUAAAUAAGGAAUUAUCUUACAAACAGCAAAUAAACCACAGCAACCAUGAAAUUAGAAGUUUGGUAAAACAUGUUGCAGAAGAACCAGGAAACACAUUGCAAUUGAGCCUGCUGGGUGCUGCUGCAAGUUUGGGGGUGAACAGGAGAAUCAGGUUCUUAUAGAACUGGGCAGAGUGGCUCACACCUACAAUCCCCUAGGAGGGAAGGACAAAGGCAUCCAUAUCACCUCGCCACAGUGGUUGUGGUGGAAGCUGUAGCACUGAAGAGAUGCAGCCCCAUGGAAGAUGCUGCCAAGAGAGGGAGACAGAGCUACGUCUGGUGUCUCCCUUCCUCCUUACCUGGUGCCUCCCUCCUCCUGUCCUCCUGUCUCCCUUCAGAUGAAGGAACUGAUGCUGAGACUUGCACUCUACCAUAGGCGGAAGCACCCACCACCCUGUUCCCAGCCCUGGAAGGGCAAGGAAUGAAUCUGAGGCAAAUAGGGCCAGCACUGGCAGUCUGCUCGAUUUUCCCUCAGAGCAUUUAUCUUCCUUGACAUAUUUACAAUUUUUUGUCUAUUUUUGGUUUCUCUAACUUGACUAGAAUGUAAGAUCCACAAGGCUUGGGCUUUGCUCUUUUGUUCACUAUGUCCAUAGCUCCUGUAACAGUGCCUAAAACAUAGUAGGCAAUCAAUAGAUAUUCUUUGGAUAAACAAAUAUGCCUCAACAUUGAGUCUAACUUACAGCAGACAUUGAAUAAAUAUCUAUUGAAUGAAUGAGACUAA
rnacentral:lncRNA from 1 species